rnacentral:ncRNA from 1 species
GGGUGGUGAAAAGUGCCGAUACUGUAGGGGCCGGCUCCGGCUUGGAGUCGAUCCUGUC